AGCUGUGCUUGUCUGGCCUCAGCUCUGAAGUCCAACCCCUCCCAUCUGAGAGAGCUGGACCUGAGUUACAACAAGCUGAAAGAUUCAGGACUGGAGCUGCUGUGUGGUUUUCUAGAGAGUCCAGACUGUAGACUGGAGACUCUGAGAUUGGAGCUCUGCAGUUUGUCAGAGGUCA